UUGCCAUCUACCUCAAUUACCAGGCCUGAUUUUCCUUUCAUAGUGAAAGCAAAUCCAGAUACUUUGGACGAUAGUACAAAAAGUACAAUAAACGAAAAACUGGAUUUUGUGUGGGUGCCAAAAGCUGCAAUAAAAUACGACUUUUCUACGUGGAAUGUACAAAGUUUGACUUAUUGGAUAACUCUUGAUGCCAGCGAACUGUGGAAAGAUUGUCGGGAUGAACUUUUAGGCAUACAAUUCUACGGGACAGAAGAUUUGAAGAAGUAUUAUUCAACAAGCAAUCAAAAGGAAAUAUUCGACAAAGUGACCUUACCCGAAUAUGCACUGAGGGAUGAAGGACAUUGUAAAUUGGAAAGAGAAUGUGUGAUGCAGUACAAUUUAUUGUCACCUUAUCUAUUCGAACCUUCUCCAAGGAAACGAAUUUCGUGUUCCCAGUUGUCCACUAUUCCCGUUUGGGAAGAAACCGCCGGUAGGAUUUUGGAUUACUCGGAAAAAUUCUUAGUCGCAGUA